CAGGUACACAUCUGGAACUGCUGGAUGCCCACGUGUAGGACCCUUUUAUACACCAGGGGAGGAGUCUGAGGUGGCGUCUGGGCAUGUGCGAGGCCCAUUUCACGCUGGAGGCCGUCCGGAGAGGAGCUCAUGGCUGCAGGUCUCAGGCCUAGGCCUAGGCCUGCUGGUGGAGCGCUUGACUCACCCCUGGUGGGUCUGGAUGCAUCGUAGGACCCUGGAAGUCGCUGCUGGGCUGUGUAGUCCCCGGUGAAGAAUGGCUGGAGGCUCGGGAUCGAAGCAGUCUUAAGUCAAGGACUUUUGAGGAUCGGUGGCACGGCGGCGGCGGCGAUGGCAGCGAUGGCUGGUCCUGAUCCGGAUGUGCUGGCCCCUGGUCAGUUGGAGAAGCCUGGUGGGGGUCGUGGAGCAGGUACACAUCUGGAACUGCUGGAUGCCCACGUGUAGGACCCUUUUAUACACCAGGGGAGGAGUCUGAGCAGAUUUUGGUCGCAGCUUCUAGCUCUGCUUUUGUGGAGUCGUCCCUGGUCCGGAGCAGCUUGACAGGCUUCUAUAGGGAGCCCUCGCCCUUUGCGCCCCAGGAUUUCUCCUAGCGCACUUGCGGGGCUCUACCUCUGUCUGUUGACUCUUCUCUCUCCCCUUUGCCCGGGGAGAGGGUUCCAAGCCUCCAGACAGCUGUUUUUCGGCUGUUCUGGGGCUUUUACAGAACCAGGGAUUGGGCGCUCAUAAAAGAGCGUCUUCAAAGCUUGCAGAGCCAAGCGGAAGUCAGAAGUGAAUCGGAGAAGCUUGGAUUUUCAAGAUAUCAAGAAGGAUUAGAAAUGGAACAUUACAAUUUCUCUACAAAAAUGGAUUUUUAAUCCUAUUUAAAGAGGUGUGUUGCUUAAAAGGAAUUACUUUGCGAGCUGCACAGGACUGGAAGAUAAAAUUACAGUUGAAUACACAAAAGCUUGUAAAAAUAAAAGAUGGUGGAAUAAAGCGGAAGAAGAAGGCUCGGAAAAAAACCAGGGGGAAAUGGAAGUGGAAGAAUUUUAUUCCUCUUUGUUAGGCAGGAUAACACGGUGAACGAUUGUAUUGGUACUCAAGAUUUUUACUAAGGAUAUGAUUUGUUUGGUUUUGAAAAAAAUUUUUUUCUUUACUUAUGACUGGGUGUUUCAACUGUUAUAAAAAUGGAUUUUUAAAAAAGAAAUUUUCUUUUGGAUGUUAAAUGAUUGGAGGUUUCAACUGUUAUAUAAACGUGAACAAGGAUAUGAUCCUUUGGUUAUGAUUGGAUGGAUUAUAUCUAAAAAUUAUUUUAAAUAAUGGAUUAAAGGAGAAAUUUCCUUUUGGAUGUUAAAUUCAAGGCUAUAGAUUUUUCAAUAUAUUUUCAAGGGCUUUAAAUUGUUUGUUUAUUGUUGAACUAAUUGGGAUUAACUACCUUUAAGCAAGAAAAGUUAUAUUUUGUUUUGAACAAGGAGAGUUAAAGUACAAGUGAUAGAUAAAUAUAUAUGCUUUCUCAGGUUUUCGCGGGUGUUUGUAUGUAGGUCUUUGGUUAUUCGGGUCUUCUCCCACGUAAAAUUGGAAGUGUC